rnacentral:rRNA from 1 species
CAGCCGCCGCGGUAAUACAGAGGGUGCGAGCGUUAAUCGGAUUUACUGGGCGUAAAGCGUGCGUAGGCGGCUUCUUAAGUCGGAUGUGAAAUCCCUGAGCUUAACUUAGGAAUUGCAUUUGAUACUGGGAAGCUAGAGUAUGGGAGAGGAUGGUAGAAUUCCAGGUGUAGCGGUGAAAUGCGUAGAGAUCUGGAGGAAUACCGAUGGCGAAGGCAGCCAUCUGGCCUAAUACUGACGCUGAGGUACGAAAGCAUGGGGAGCAAACAGGAUUAGAUACCCCCGUAGUCCCUGUCUCUUAUAC